GGGUGGUCUUGGAAAAGCAGGAGUGCCUGUCCUCACCUAGGUCCCUGGGGCUAGAGGCCUAGCCAGGGACUCUGCCCUUUCUACCCCGCGCUUUCCUUCCCGGCUUCCGUAUCAUUUAAAGGGACCGUGCUCUUCCUUUCCCAGCACUCCGGCUUGAGUGUUAAAAGGCCAGCAGGAAUUAUCCACUAGAGAAGCGGAAGGGAGAGAAUGGAAAUGGCCGCAUGCAGCUCCUCUCCCUCAGACAGCUCGGGGCUCAGCGGAAUGAGCACAGUCUGCAGGACAAGUGCGGAGGACUUCAGUCCCCUCUACUGUAUAUUGGCUUUAGGACUCAAGUUGUCCCUGAAAUAGAGGAAGGUGUUUUUUAGGUUAGCGGUAAUUAUCACAGUCAAAAAAGUAGGCGAGAGCACUUAGGAAAACUGUGCGGAGAUCGGCUGCUGAUGUGUAAAUACUGCUGAAACUGCUUAUUCAAGAUUAGAAAACCUGAGACCCAGACGGGGGAAACUGCUUUCCAUGGUUAAUCGGCAACAACUGGCCAGGAUGGGACAGAAGCCCAUACAUAGCCUUCAUUCCAGGGCCCAGAACAAAAAGAAGGCAGUGGCCUGGGCUGCACCUGAGCUUGGCUUCACAUAGGAGGGAUUCUGGAACGCAGGAUCCUGACAACGACCUCAAGCCCCUGUAAAGCAACACAUUUUUUGGCAAGAAUGCCUGGGACAGAGAAAGAAUUUCUUCUCACUGAUUAUUGAGAAUGUUCUCAUAUCUUACAAGAGACACUGGAAUGUUUCCAGAGAGGCAUAUCAUUGGUUUCCACUUACAGUGGCUAUGUUCUACAGCCUCUCCUGACUACAAGGGAGAUGGAGAAAUUGCAUAGUAUUGUCACCACCUUGCAAAACGUCAGCACUUUGGAAUAAGGAAGAAUGUAGAACGACGUUUCGUGGGUGAUAAAGGCAUCUGCUGGGAAGGAACAAGUUGCAACAGGACACAGCAGGCAUCUUCUUUGGAGGCUCACUGCCCAGUAGAAGCUGAAAAGAUUCAGUACGAGUAAAAGAAGAGAUCUGAAAUUUGCAGCUUGUCAUAGAAAGGUAUUUGUUUUCUUUUUAUUUAUUUGUUUUAAACUGUGAUUUUAGGUUCAAGGGUUACAUGUGCAGGUUUGUUAAUACAGGCAAACUCAUGUCAUAGGGGUUUGGGGUACAGACCAUCUCAUCUCUCAGGUAAUAAGCAUGGUACCCGACAGUUAUUUUUCUUGAUCCUCUGUCUCCUUCCAUCUUCCUCCUUUAAGUAGGUCCCAGUGUUGGCUGUUCCCCUCUUUGUGUCUAUUGGUUCUCAUUAUUUAGCUCCCCCAUAUAAGCGAGAACAUGCAGUAUUUGGUUUUCUAUUUCUGCAUUCUUUCACUAAAGAUAAUGGUCUCCAGCUCCAUCCAUGUUCCUGCAAAGGACAUGAUCUCAUUCAUUUCACUGCUGCAUAAUAUUCCAUGGUAUAAAUGUACCAUAUUUUCUUUAUCUAGUCUAUUGUUGAUGGGCAUUGAGGUUGAUUCCAUGUCUUUGCUAUUGCGAAUAGUACUUCAGUGAACCUACGUGUACAUGUUUCUUUAUGGUAGAACAAUUUAUAUUCCUUACUACCCAAUAAUUGGAUUGCUGGGUCAAAUGGUAGUUCUGUUUUUAAUUCUUUGAGGAAUCACCACACUGCUUUCCACAAUUAUGCGAGAAAGUUCAAUAACACUCAUCAUCAGAGGCUUCUGUUUUGUAAAACAAGUAUGUUGGUCUUUGAGUUAUGCCUGGAUAUUUUCUGCUGGUCCCUCAAAGAUGUAUUUUUUUGUUAAUCCUACUUCCUGCUCUGCACCCUGGGAGAUGGAGGGCUGCAGUUUGCUGCCAGUUGUGGUCAGGCCAUGAGAGAAACUCCCAGAAGGUCAGAGGGUGGCAGGAGAGAGCUCAGAGUGUUGAUCCUCCUGGCUCUGCCCCAGUGGUGUCGCUGCUCAGCAUUGCUGUUUAUGCUCCUCAACAUGAGGACACAGCCUUGUCCUUGAGGGAGGCUGUCUCCUGGAUUUCUCCAGGACCUAGAACCAGCUCUCUUCCAUUUCCUGCUUCAGGAUGAAGAACAGUAGGGGCUUCUCCUGGGGGCUUCCCAAUCUUGUUUUUGUUCCUGUUACACUAACAGGAUCACUGUUAAUUUUCCCAAUCUCUUUAGUCACUCAUUUGAAUGAACUAUUUCUCACAGCUAUUCUAACUGAUACAGGUUACUUUAUUUAUAUUUUUGAAAAUGACUCCCAAGGUGCUUCAGGAUGUUUUACUUUAUUUCAUCUUAGCCUGUGCCUGGUGGCCGGUUUCGAUGAAUUUUGGAUCCCUAUUUCAGCAUGAGGCGUUAGCAUCUCUGGCUGCAAUGAAUGAAAUGCAGCCAUUCCGAGAAAUAUAUGCACACAGUUUAGAAGUACCCACUGUCCUAUAGCUCCCAUUUACUAAAUGAAAAGAGAAUAACGCUGGAGGCUGCAAACCAUCCCCGGCCUUCUGUCUGGAUAGAGUGGUUAU